rnacentral:rRNA from 1 species
CCUACGGGCGGCAGCAGUCGAGAAUCAUUCACAAUGGGGGAAACCCUGAUGGUGCGACGCCGCGUGGGGGAAUGAAGGUCUUCGGAUUGUAAACCCCUGUCAUGUGGGAGCAAAUUAAAAAGAUAGUACCACAAGAGGAAGAGACGGCUAACUCUGUGCCAGCAGCCGCGGUAAUACAGAGGUCUCAAGCGUUGUUCGGAAUCACUGGGCGUAAAGGGUGCGUAGGCUGUUUCGUAAGUCGUGUGUGAAAGGCGCGGGCUCAACCCGCGGACGGCACAUGAUACUGCGAGACUAGAGUAAUGGAGGGGGAACCGGAAUUCGAGGGGAAGCAGUGAAAUGCGUAGAUAUGGAGAGGAACACUCGUGGCGAAGGCGGGUGCCUGGACAUUAACUGACGCUGAGGCACGAAGGCCAGGGGAGCGAAAGGGAUUAGAUACCCCAGUAGUC